GUGGGGAAUCUUGCGCAAUGGGCGAAAGCCUGACGCAGCCAUGCCGCGUGAAUGAUGAAGGUCUUAGGAUUGUAAAAUUCUUUCACCGGGGACGAUAAUGACGGUACCCGGAGAAGAAGCUCCGGCUAACUUCGUGCCAGCAGCCGCGGUAAGACGAAGGGGGCUAGCGUUGCUCGGAAUUACUGGGCGUAAAGGGCGCGUAGGCGGACAGCUUAGUCAGAGGUGAAAGCCCAGGGCUCAACCUUGGAAUUGCCUUUGAUACUGGCUGUCUUGAGUUUGGGAGAGGUGAGUGGAACUCCGAGUGUAGAGGUGAAAUUCGUAGAUAUUCGGAAGAACACCAGUGGCGAAGGCGACUCACUGGCCCAAUACUGACGCUGAGGCGCGAAAGCGUGGGGAGCAAACAGGAUUAGAAACCCUGGUAGUCC
rnacentral:rRNA from 1 species